GAAGUUGAUCAUGAUCACUCUCAGGUCACCAAUAAUCAAUUAAUCUCGUCAACUCCGCCUGUCCAAGAGAAUUAUCCACCCCGAUGAAAUGAUCGGCCACCUUUUGCGUCGAACAAUGGGCGGCUGAGUAGCGUAACUCCUAAAUAUCUCGUACCGUGCCCAUUUUUGGGUAGGAAGGGGUUUUGCUUAAAAGAUUGGAGAUACUAUUUCCUUCAUAACGAUAUAGUGCAACGACCCGUCCCAUUGUAUCCAACUCAGAAUUUGAGGCCUUUUUCUCAUAUCCAAAGAACUAAUCCAUUCCAAACUGUUACAAUGGAACCGGAUUUUCCCAAUGUAAUGAACCCAGUAUAUCACCCUUACUUCUAUAUUGGCC